UCUCUUCUGCUGCUAGCUCUUUACCACUAUGAUCCCCAUGCCACGAAUAUUUUGCCUCAAAUCUCUUAAAAACCAAGAGCCACUGCAGCUUUACUGGCAUAAAACUGAAGCAGUGCAAUGGAGAACAGCUAUCAGGACAGCUCUGACGGGAGAUCUGAUGAGCGUUGCCCCAGGCUGCAAGGACAUCCUCAUGCCCAAGGAAGCAGGUUCCAGCAAGGCUGCUGCUUCCC